ACGCAGCUCUCGGCACAACAAACACAACACAAAAUCAAUUUAUAAAGAAAGCAAGUAAAAAGAAUAUUCCAAAUUGCAAAAUGAAACCCGCGAAAAGAAAGAAAUCCUAUUAAAAUUCCAUUUCGAAUAACAUGCAGAUAAUAUAAUAAGAGCACACAUCCUCUCUCACACAUACACGUAAUUAGCCAUUUGUUGCAGUUUGCUCACAGGACUACCCGUGAUAACACUCUAGUCGCUUGUUAUGCUGAUGAUUCAAUGCUUUGCCCCUACGAAUAUUCAAAAACUCUACGUAAACUCAAAGACACAAGAGACACAAAUACAAGAAGCAGAGAAAUAUCAUAUAAUUCCAUUUUUAUUUUAGGAUGGAAUUCAUAUGUUUAUUAUUAUUGUAUUUCCAUGUGUACAACGAGAGCCGAUCAGAUUAUGUGGUUUCUGAUCGGCCUAGACAUAUACGAAUGGAGACUAAAAAACAGUCUUAAUUUUGUGGCGCGUACAUUUCAUUAAAUUUCAUACAUUUCAAAUAGUUCUACAAUAGCUCAGGCAACCUUCAACGAUUGGUAUGGCAAUCAUGACCAAUCAUGACCAGCUGGAAUAGACCAGAAAUUCACUCUGAUACUCGGAUGCACUCUAGAUAUACAUACAUAGUUCUACACAUCUUGACUUCCAUACACACUUAUAUCGAAUAUGCAUAUAUAUAUAUUUAUUUAGACAUAUAU
rnacentral:sRNA from 1 species